UACGGGGGGGGCAAGCGUUGUUCGGAAUUACUGGGCGUAAAGGGCUCGUAGGUGGCCAACUAAGUCAGACGUGAAAUCCCUCGGCUUAACCGGGGAACUGCGUCUGAUACUGGAUGGCUUGAGUUCGGGAGAGGGAUGCGGAAUUCCAGGUGUAGCGGUGAAAUGCGUAGAUAUCUGGAGGAACACCGGUGGCGAAGGCGGCAUCCUGGACCGAUACUGACACUGAGGCGCGAAAGCUAGGGGAGCAAACGGG
rnacentral:rRNA from 1 species